rnacentral:lncRNA from 13 species
UGAUUUAUGUGUGCAUAACUUCAACAGCAGAAUGUCAUCGAGGAGGUCUUUAAUUGGCAGACUUCAGGGACCACAGAGGGAGAUGACAGAGUGAGCUCUGGAGACAUGGGAGUGUCGGCUGCCAUUCCCAGCUCAUCCCCGCAGAGGAGGUCUAAAUAAAUCUCCGGGGGAAGGCAGUCAACUUUUAAACUUUUUAUUAACCUGAUCUCGGCUAAUGAAAUACAGAAAGGAGGAGAUGAUCUUCAACUUCAGAUGAUUUGGAUCUCGUGAUGCAGCAGAUGACUGCCUAGGUUUCUUGAGAGGACGAAACACAAGUCCUCUGGCAAUUUUCAUUCAAAGACAACAAUACUGCAAUUUGCAGCCUUUGUGACUUCAAUGAGUCACUUGGUCUCAGCUUGCCACAAAGGAUAUAAUCACGUAUUUUCAGGUGUGGGAGGGAGGAAACCAUGUGAAGGGAACAGCACAUGCCCAUACGCUGACAUGGAAAGGAGCCAGAGGACCUGGAAUACAACCUGCAUUAACUCACUUAGGAGAGCUGCCUGACCUGGUGUGUAUGAGGGGUUGAGAUGGUCAGGGAGGGGGCAGUGGGCAGAUCAUGCUGGGCAUUGUAGACCAUGGAGGGAAGUUUGGAUUGCGUCCUUAGGGCAGCAGGAAACCCCUUAUGGGGUGGCUCCAGGGCAGUGGUGCACUAUGUUUUAAGACCACUGUGCUGUGUGUGGUCUGGAUAAAGGCUGAGUGCCUGCAGGGGUGAGUGAGAGGGGG